AUAGCGAAUCUUUCUAAAGCUCUGAUCAGUCAAGAAGGGGGUUACAUCAAUCCUCAGAACCCUGAGUGGAACUUUCUGACGGAUUUAUUAGGAGGAAAACCUUCCUGGAAGCUGCAGAAGGACUAAUACAGAAUCCAUGUCUGGGAGAAACCUCGUGGCCUGGUCUCCAUUAUUUGAGAUGAGUUACAUCUUGGAGGCCUGAUCUUUUGGCCAGAAGGAGAUUAAAAUGAUGCCCCUUAAGAUGGCUGUGCCUGUCAGCUGCAUGGAGCUUCGUUCGAGUAUUUUCUGAGCCUGAUGGAUUUACAGUGAUCUUCGGUCGUCUGAGGAAUAACUCUGGUGGAACAAUGCACUGGAAUGACACACGCCCUGCACAUUUCAGGAUACUAAAAGUGGUUUUGAAGGAGGCCCUGGCUGAAUGCCUCAUGGAUUCUUACAGCUUGGAUGUCCAUGUGGGAUGAAGGACCGCAGCUGGCUGCGAGGACUGAGAUCUCUGUUUACUUGGGUCUCUGCCAACUUCCUUUGGGUCUCCCUAUGGAAUGUAAGACCCCGACUCCUCCUGGUGAAGCGUCUGAUGCAUGUUCCGUCCGGCGCUCAGCUGGGCUUGAGGAGACAGCACGAAUUCUCCUACAUGUUCACCACACAACUGGUGCUGUGAGAGAGACGAAGAUGAGUCACGCCUGUACUGCUCUUUAAACACUCACAAUUGAAUGGUUAUCCUGGCCAGAAAGCCAUAGCUUUUCCUCAUCAGAGCUUCAGUGCUAUGGAAACUUGAAGUUUGGAGGGUCUGAUGUCUCAGUCUGGAUGAGGAUGAGUUCCCUGCAUUCCUGGGUCAGCAGCUCCCAUCCUCUUAGAUUCCAGGAUGGUGGCUGGACAUGGUGGCUCAUACCUGUAAUCCCAGCACUUUGGGAGACCAAGGCAGGAGUAUGGCUUGAGCCCAGGCAUUCAAGACAAGACUGGGCAACACAGCAAGACCCUGUCUCAAAAGAAAAAAAAAGAUUCCAAGAUGGUGUAGAACAUCAGAGAGGAGCCCUUCGAGAUUAUUUGGCCAUUGUCACCCCACCUGCUUAUAGAUGGAAAUGCAUAGACUCAGAGAGGUCGGGGGACAUAUAGACAGCUGUACAAAUCCAGUGGACCUCAAAUCCAGGCGUUUCUAACCUGAAUUAAAUUAUCUCGCCCUUGGGCGAUGGAGAAUGGAGCAGAAGUGACCACAGCAGAAUAGGUGGGAAGGUUCCUGCGACAGCAAAGAUUCUGCUGCCCGGUUCCUGAGAUAUUAAGAAUGUGUUGUCUACACAACUACAUGGCCAGCUGCCUCCUCCUUAAUUUUUGUUUUGUUUUGUUUUGUUUGUUUGUUUCUGAGACAGAGUCUUGCUCUGUAUCCCAGGCUGGAGUGCAGUGGCAUGACCACAGCUCACUGCAGCCUCAAUCUCCUUGGUUCAAGUGAUCCUCCCACCUCAGCCUCCCAAGCAGCUGGGACUACAAGUGCAUGCCACCAAGUGCUAUUUUUUUUCUUUUUUAAAUUUUUUUUAGAGGCAGGGGUCUUGCUACGUUGCCAGGGCUGGUCUCGAACUCCUGGGCUCAAGUUAUCCUCCUGCCUCGGCCUCCCAAAGUGCUGGGAUUAUAGGCGUGAGCCAUCAUACCCAGCCCUCCUUAAUUUUUUAACAUGAAUUAAUAGGACUUGGACACACAUAGCCUCAUUUAUAUGGGCAGCCAUCACAGCCUGCCACGUGUCAGAUGAGGUCUCUGGGGCUCUCACUCCUUGCAUCGGGACUGAUGCCACAUGUGGCCCAGCUGUAGGUCACAUUCAUCUCCUGCGUUCUCCGGGAUCAGAUGGAAUACCAGCACAUCUACCCUCGUGUGCCCUGGGAGUUUGUAAUAAUGUAUGAAUAUGUAGAUUUAUUUCAGAGAACAUUUUCAGAAUCCUGUUGCGCAUGUGCACAAAAAUAUUGGCUGCAGUGUGUUUAUAACCAUGAAAACUCCAAAAUAGCUUCAAUCUCCUGUGAAAGGGGAGUGGUUGAAGGCCCUCCAGCACGUGCACAGAAUUCUUUCUUCAGCCAUUGAAACAUGAAAAUGACGGUUAAAAAUGACUCCAUUAUGGGGAAAAGGGACAGGAUGCAAAUGGCAUGAUGAUAUGAUGGCACGAUGUAUGAUAAGGAAAGAAAAAGAUGUUGUAAAAGGUCACAUAAAGUCACCCGCAGAUCAGCAGUCAUGCCAUGAUUAGCUGCUCUGUGCCAGACACACAGGCUGCAAAUUGUAGCUGCUCACCCCAGGAGGUGGGCAGCUGCCCCUCUGUGCCUCCGUUGCCUCUGUUAGGCUCCUGGAAGCCCCCUUCAUUGCUGUGUAAUGACAUCUUCAUCACCACAUGUAACAGCUUCUUUACCACUAUGUGCAAUGUCAUUCUGUGUGCCUCUUGGGCUAAACCAUCACAGAGGAAAAGAGUGCUGGAGAAAUGCCAGGGAUAUCGGUACGGAAAUGUUCCAGAUGGAAAGUCUCGGCUUCAGGUGACCGUAGCAGUGAAUGUCAGGGUCAAACUGGGGGUGUAUUCUUGGGAGAGCGUCAGCUCGUCUGUGACCUAGUGUUCAGCCGGCUUCCUGGAAAGGAGGCUGCAUCCUGACAUUGAAGCCCUGUGUGCUAGGAUGAGUGUGUUACGCAGAGCCUUACACAUGAGAAAAUCUUGCAUCCUCAGGACAGGCGGUUAGUGUUGCUGUCUGGAAUCCACCGGCUACGUCCCUCCUCCCUCCACCACUUAAAAUUCCCUGAAUCUGACAGUGGUAGGGAAAGGGCUGAUCCUGGAGAAGAUUGUUCCUUGAUAAUCCUAGUAUGAUUCAUAAUGGUUGCAGCAGAUGAGCCCUGAGGUCCGUGGCUCAGUCUGCAGCUGAGGAAGGCUCUUCCCUGGGGAGGUGUGUCCAGCUUCUCGGGAAGACCUCAGCUGUCUGGCUGGCCUGGGCUGCCCAGUUCUUAGCAGUGCGUCAGUGAUCAGCAGCCCCUGACCAUCAGACAGCGUUUCCCGCCUGCCAGAGAACGUCAGAGCCACUGCGUCUGGACCAGCUGAAGGCAGCCACGGUGCCCAGGAUGCUGCUGCUGCCUCCAAGGAAAAGAAUUCUGAAAAUGAGGAAUUACAGCCUGGUGGUUUUGUUUUAUGUUUAUUAAUUUUUUUACAUCUGGAAGAUAAUGGAAAAAUUAAAAAUUGCUAUAAUUGCACCAAUUUUAAAAGUUAAUAAUAUAAAGAAGGGAGAGUCACCAACACCAGCUUGAAACCCAUCCCGCCCCUUCUUGAGAUAAUACCUGUUAUCAAUUUGGUGAUUUAUGCAAACGUAGUGGUGUACUGUUAAACUUCUCAAGAGGAGAAACAAAAACCCUGAAUUGUAGGUUUGUCGAUUUCAAUGGUGAAAUCCCACUGCAGCCGGUUUCAGGCAACCAAAGCUUUAAAAGCCAGUUCGCAAAAUUCUUGAAUAUUUAAUAAUCAGCUUUUGCAAGUGCAUACAUGCUCACAGCGUUUGCUUUUUGUACUUCAUUUUGAGGGAGGCAGGAAAUGGAAACUUGCAAUGGUAUUGGUAAGCAUGCCAUUUUUAUUUACGGUAUCACCACGUCUUCCCAGACUAGCAUGUGCAGAUUCACUUAGCUCCUCUCACUUGUGGGAUGGAGUUUCCAUGAAGGCGCACUGUGUUGCUUCUGGAAGGGCAGAAUCGGCCCCCCAGGAGAGGGGAGUGGCAGCAGCUUAGCACUCGGAGGUUAGCUCCUGCAAUGCUAUCCACAUUUGGCGUUUACUUGGAGUUCACUCUAGCUUCUGGUUUCUUCUAAAUAUGUUCUUCCAAUAACCUGUGGCCUAAUCAACGUUGCUGGUGAUACAUCCCUUUGCUCUGUUUAAUUCCAGUUUCCAUCAGAGAAUCUCAUUUUUCUUUUGGGAAAUGUUUCCUGAUUUUCUUCUUUUCCACCACCCCUCCCUGAGGCUGGGUAAAGUGCUUCUUCUGCAAUGAUGCUUAGAACCCAGGCCUCCUUCUGUGACAGGGCUCUCUGCACCUUAUGGUUUAUUGUGUGAUGUCUCAGCCUGUUUCCUGCAGAGAAGCAGAGAAGUUCUGGUGAACAGAAUGGCCCUCUAAAGAUGCCCACGCCCUAAUCUCUGAUGUUAUGCCUAUGAAUGAAUAUGUUACUUUAUAUGGCAAAGGGGACUUUGCAGAUGUAAUUAAGGUUACGAAUCAAUUGACUUCUAAUAGGGAGAUUAUCCUUGGUUAUCCAGGUGGGCCCAAUCCAAUCACAUGGGCCCUUAAAAGCAGAGAUUUUCUCUGACUGUGCUGAGGAAGAUGCCGUGAACGAUUCUAAGUGUGAGAAGGAUUUGAUGUGCCACUGCUGGCUCUGAAAUGUGGGGCCCACUUGUAGGAACUGGAGGGAGAGACUGGUUGCUAAGGGUGGCCCCUAGCUAACAGCCAACAGAGAAAUGGGGACCCCCCCAAUCCUACAGCUGCAGGGAACUGAUUUCAGAACAUGAAUAAGUUUGGAAGAGGAUCCUUCCAGAACCUCCUGAUAGGAGUCCAGUCCGCUGUCACCUUGAAUUCAGCUUCGUGAACCAGGAGCAGGGAAACCAGCUGAGCCAACCCACUCUCUGACCUAAGGAGCACCGAGGUAAUUAUAUGUAUUGUUUUAAGCCACUGAGUUUGUAGUAAUUUGUUAUAGUGGCUGUAGAAAAUUAAUACAGAAUCCUAGUGUUUGGGAAUGCAGGCUCCAGGCCCCUGUUUUCUCACUUCCAAAGCAUGUUUGCACCUUCGCAGGGGACUCUCAAGUCCCGGUAGCUCACUUUCACGUGUCUCAGCCCACUUGCCCUGCUGCUUCUGAAUGAGCAGGUUCUACCAUCUUCCAAACACUUCAUCUCCCCCACCUGCCCAUAAUCACUGCUUGUUGGAUUUUUACCACUGCAAUGUAGGCCUUGGCUUCCUAUUUCAGACCCCUGGGAUGUUUUGGUAGCUUCCUUAGGGGUCUUCUCAACUCCCGGCCCUCCCUCUGCCCAACCAUCCUUCACACUGCCUCCAGAUGCAUCUUCCUGGAGUGUGGCUUUACUUCCAUCGCUCCCUAGCUACUGACAUCCUGUGGGCCUCCCAUUCCAACUGAAUCCAGGGCACAUCCCCCAGCCUAGGUUUCACAGUCUCUACUGGGGACAGGGGCAUUGCCUUUCCAGUCCGAUUCCGCAGGACUCCCUCUUGUGCUUUUGUUCUACUCUUGUCCCCUUGUAUGCCCAAGCUUCCCCAGCCCCAGGUCUCUCCAUUCCUCCAGUCCUGUAGUGCCCUGCUCUUGUGCCAUCUCAUCCCUGCAGCCUCAUGGGAUCCCCAGAGGUACCACUGGUACCAUGCCCAAGGCUCAUCUGUCUGUCUGACUCUAAGUGCCCUCAGUCACAGAGCCAGUCUGAGAUCCAGCCCUGUAUUUGAACUUCUGCCCUGUCUAAUCUGGAGCCCAACCUCUCGCCCCCCUCUCCAGUGUGAUUCACAGGCUUGUGUCAAAGCUCUCGGGGAUUUAAAGAAAAUGUCGACACCCAGGCUUAAAAAAAAAUGUGAUGACCAUCUUUACCGGAGGGAAAAGAACUUCCUGUGUAACUAUUGAAAGUAAUGAAGAUGGAGGAAGGGACAGGAUUGGGAAUGGAAAAUACUCAUCUUCCCAGCAGUGGGGACAGAGUUGAGAACCAAAGAAACUGUGUAUUUUCUAAGACACACUCCAGGCCAGGCCUGCCUGCGUCCUUCAGUGCCCAGGUCUACCGCGGAGAGCCCUGGGCUGACCACUGGCUCACCCUGCAGAAUGCUCACUACAGACGUGGCUUCUGAGGCUGGGGAUGGGCCUCCAGCCAGCAGCUGUCAGGACGGACUCCUUGGCAAACUUUCCUAGGAUGUAAGAUGGAAAGAUUUUUUCCAUCUCCCUACCCCGUGUUUCCCAGGUUGGGGAAAAUAGGAAAAAAAAAAAAAAAAAAAAAGGAAGAAAAUGGGCCUACCUAUCAAAACAGAGGCUAAACACCCACAAAUAGGAAACUCACAGACCAAAAAUGAAACACUAAAGCAAAUACCAUAAUUUCCAAUUCAGGCCUGUGUGAGUAUCUCCAGGUGGGAACAGCAGCAUUUGGAGUUGAGGUGGGAGGGGGCUCGGAUGGGGGCAGUCCUUGUGGAAGGAGGGCAAACCAGCCUGGGGAGAAGGAGAUUUGGGGCCAGAAGGUUCUGUGGGAUUGUGACUUUGGACUUUGUCAUUUCACUGGGGACCGUCCAUGAGACAGAAUCAUCCUUGCCUCAUUCACUGACCUCACAUCCAUGCAGCUAUCCAGUGUGAGAAUUAAGAGAAAAGCCUUUAAAAUUUUAAAGCCCUGUACACAUGUGAAGUGUUAAAAAUAGUCACAAACAAUAAACUGUAGCAAUAACGUCAAUGAUAAUGACGUUGACCCAGUGACAAAGGGAUUUUGUCUCUCUCAUGAGUGGACCAAAAUGGAAGCAGUAGAGGAAGGCAUUAUAGCUCAGAGGCCAUAAGGCUGCAGGAUUUACAGCCAAACUGCCUGGAUUUAAAAUUGGGUUCUAGUACUCACUAGCUUCGCAACCUUGGGCAACUCACUUAACUUCUCUAUGCCCCCGUUUCCUCAUCGGUAAAAUAUAUACACUAGUAAUCCCAAACUCAUAGCAUUAUUGUAUGGAUUAAGUGAGCUAAUCCACGAUAAUAACAUGUUUAAUAUGUGUUAGCUAUAAUCACAAAAUUGUGAUAGCAAUUCUCUAAUAGAAAAAAAUAUUGUGUGCCAAUGUCUCGGCCAUCUUUAUACUCAGUGUAAGCAGCCCCCACAAACAGAAAUGCUGUUGCAGGGUGAGUGUGCUAAAAAUACUCCUGGGAUUUUUCAAGUCCUUGGAGACAUUCAUCUUAAAAUAGUGCAAAAAGAACCAAAUAAAUACUCAUUUAUGUGCUAUUUUAAUGAGCAACUGCAGGCAAUAUGCCUAAUAUGGCAGAGAGGUCUUCAGUGUCCUUUCUCCUUCCUUCUUGAUUAGCGUCUGAGCUCAGAUGGCAUGCAUCAUUAUGUUUGUGGCAUUACAAAAGGUUCUGGGAGUGCGGGAGAGUGCAAGGGUGGGGAAGCAUUACGUGCCUGUAAUCCCAGCUCUUUGGGAUGCUGAGGCAUGAGAAUCGCUUGAACUCGGGAGACAGAGGUUGCAGUGAGCCGAGAUCAUGCCACUGCACCGCAGCCUGGGCCACAGAGCAAGACUCUGUCUCAAAAAAAAAAAAAAAAAAAAAAA
ensembl:lncRNA